UACGUAGGGAGCAAGCGUUGUCCGGAAUCAUUGGGCGUAAAGCGCGCGUAGGUGGCCUCAUAAGUCCGCUGUGAAAGUCAAAGGCUCAACCUUUGAAAGCCGGUGGAUACUGUGAGGCUAGAGUACGGAAGAGGCGAGUGGAAUUCCUGGUGUAGCGGUGGAAUGCGCAGAUAUCAGGAGGAACACCGAUGGCGAAGGCAGUUCUCUGGGCCGUAACUGACGCUGAGGAGCGAAAGCGUGGGGAGCGAACAGG
rnacentral:rRNA from 1 species